rnacentral:misc_RNA from 1 species
GAAAUGCGAUAAGUAAUGUGAAUUGCAGAAUUCCGUGAAUCAUUAAAUCUUUGAACGCACAUUGCGCUCUUUGGUAUUCCGAAGAGCAUGUCUGUUUGAGAAUCAGUUUAAUUUAUCAUUCCCUAGGGGGGUCAGCCCUCCAAGGGAGUGGAUUUGGGAUGCAAGAGCCUUUUGGGGCCCUUCAACCUUUGAAACAUUAGUUGUUCUUUUUGAUUUUUGAUCUGAACGAUGCUAGCCGAAGGCAUGACCAAUGAACGCAAGUUCUUUUAGUGCUGAUAACGCUGGUAGGUGAGGAAAAAAAAUCGUCUCGCGAGAGGAAGAGAAUGCUUUAUAAAACCCAACCCGAGAUGGACAGUUGCUCGUUCAUUUUAAGACUUGAUCUCAAAUCAGAUAAGACUAC